rnacentral:rRNA from 1 species
AUGAACGCUAGCGGCAGGCUUAAUACAUGCAAGUCGAGGGGCAGCAUAAGUAGCAAUACUUGAUGGCGACCGGCAAACGGGUGCGGAACACGUACGCAACCUUCCUUUAAGUGGGGAAGUAGCCCGGGGAAACCCGGAUUAAUACCCCGUAAUAUUAUGAUGUGGCAUCACAUUAUAAUUAUAGAUUCAUCGCUUAAAGAUGGGCGUGCGCCUGAUUAGGUAGUUGGCGGAGUAAUAGCCCACCAAGCCUGCGAUCAGUAACUGGUGUGAGAGCACGACCAGUCACACGGGCACUGA